rnacentral:lncRNA from 1 species
UGAUCCUCCGCCCAGUACAGGCACAGCAGGGCAUCCAGAGAAGAUAGGAGUCCCAAGUUGACACCUGCCACAUUCUUGGCUCAGAACAGCUGUGGCUGGGAAGGUCCAUGGGCCAGGGAGCGGGUGAUGAAGGACUUCAGCAUCUUUAUCAGCGCCCCCCCACACAGACGGCAGCUGCGGCCUAGCCCCCAGGCUUCACUUGGCGUGGACAACUUGCUAAGUAAAGUGGGGGGUGGGCCACGGCUGGCUCCUACCUGGACAGGCCUCCAGCUAACUCCGGGCUUGCACAGCAAAUACAAGAAAAAAAGAAACAGAAAAAUCAGUUCAUGUGCCCUUUCCUGACUUCUCCUGGCACCUACAGCCCUGACUGCAGAGAUGGUCCCGUGGUCCCAAGACAGAGGCUGGAGAAGUGAGUGGAGCCAAGAGGCAGAAAGAUCUCAGUAAUUUGGAAAAAAUUCCCAACUGGGUGCAGCUGGCUACACCUUUUCUUCCCCAGCAUCCUAAAGAGGAAAUUUCAAGAAAGCCCUGUAUUCCAGCACAGGAAGCAGGAAUGUCUUAAGCCACACUGCGCUGUUUCUGCUGGAGACAUCUCCCUGCUCUCAAACCUUCCUUCACUGCAAUUGUCUCUAAGAUAAUAAAACCUGGCGAGCAUUUAUCAUGGGAUACAAUGGACACUGAUUUUAUGAAAUUGACUUCAGAGAAACCCUUGUGCUCACAGGCAUGCUGAGCUCAGAGAGGUCCUGCCACCUUCCCAGAUGAAGAACAUGAGUCUUAGAGAAGUCAAAGAAGUUGCCUAAGGUCACAUGAGCAGUGAGCAGAGGAGUUGCUUACCUUUGUUAGACUCCAAAUCCUGUGUGACUAUGAAACUCAUUAACUGAAACAACCCGGCACCUUUGGACCUGUGCAGGCAAAGGCAAGGGAGUUGACCAGGAGCACACAGCACAGACGAGAACAGUCCCAAAGCCUUUUGCUGUAUCCCAUCUGUGCAAACCACUCCCAAUAAACAAACAAACACA